AUUGAACGCUGGCGGCACGCCUAACACAUGCAAGUCGAGCGGUAACAGGAUGUGUAGCAAUACACAUUGCUGACGAGCGGCGGACGGGUGAGGAACACGUAGGAACCUACCCUCAAGCGGGGGAUAACUAAUGGAAACGUUAGCUAAUACCACAUAAUCUCGGAAGAGAAAAGCUACCCGCAAGGGCGGCACUUGAGGAGGGGCCUGCGUCCGAUUAGCUAGUUGGUGAGGUAAUGGCUCACCAAGGCAAUGAUCGGUAACUGGUCUGAGAGGACGACCAGUCACACUGGGACUGAGACACGGCCCAGACUCCUACGGGAGGCAGCAGUGGGGAAUAUUGGACAAUGGGGGCAACCCUGAUCCAGCGAUGCCGCGUGAGUGAAGAAGGCCUUCGGGUCGUAAAGCUCUUUAGGUUGGGAAGAAGUGUAUUAGGUUCAUAGCCUAGUAUGUUGACGGUACCGACAGAAUAAGCACCGGCAAACUCUGUGCCAGCCGCCGCCGUAAUAC
rnacentral:rRNA from 1 species